GGGGAAUCUUAGACAAUGGGGGAAACCCUGAUCUAGCGAUGCCGCGUGAGUGAAGAAGGCCUUAGGGUUGUAAAGCUCUUUCAACUGUGAAGAUAAUGACGGUAACAGUAGAAGAAGCACCGGCUAACUCCGUGCCAGCAGCCGCGGUAAGACGGAGGGUGCUAGCGUUGUUCGGAAUAACUGGGCGUAAAGGGCGCGUAGGCGGUCGGGUCAGUUAGAUGUGAAAGCCCCGGGCUUAACCUGGGAACUGCAUUUAAUACUGCCAGACUAGAGUGCGAGAGAGGAAAGUGGAAUUCCUAGUGUAGAGGUGAAAUUCGUAGAUAUUAGGAGGAACACCAGAGGCGAAGGCGGCUUUCUGGCUCGCAACUGACGCUGAGGCGCGAAAGCGUGGGGAGCAAAC
rnacentral:rRNA from 1 species